rnacentral:rRNA from 1 species
UACGGAGGAUGCAAGCGUUAUCCGGAUUCAAUGGGUUUAAAGGGUGCGUAGGCGGACUAUUAAGUCAGUGGUGAAAGCCUGCAGCUUAACUGCAGAACUGCCAUUGAUACUGAUAGUCUUGAGUUUGGUUAAGGUAGGCGGAAUGUGUAAUGUAGCGGUGAAAUGCUCAGAUAUUACACAGAACACCAAUUGCGUAGGCAGCUUACUGAGCCGACACUGACGCUGAGGCACGAAAGCGUGGGGAGUCGAA